GAAAUGCGAUAAGUAAUGUGAAUUGCAGAAUUCAGUGAAUCAUCGAAUCUUUGAACGCACAUUGCGCCCCUUGGUAUUCCAUGGGGCAUGCCUGUUCGAGCGUCAUUUGUACCCUCAAGCUCUGCUUGGUGUUGGGUGUUUGUCCCGUCUCCGCGCGUGGACUCGCCCCAAAGUGAUUGACAGCCGGCGUACUGGUCCCGGAGCGCAGCACAUGUCGCGCAAACGAGUGCCUUGGUACGGCGGCGUCCAUAAGCCCCUCUCUCACGCUCUUGACCUCGGAUCAGGUAGGGAUACCCGCUGAACUUAAGC
rnacentral:misc_RNA from 1 species